UACAGAGGUCUCAAGCGUUGUUCGGAUUCAUUGGGCGUAAAGGGUGCGUAGGCGGCGCGGUAAGUCGGGUGUGAAAUCUCGGAGCUUAACUCCGAAACUGCAUUCGGAUACUGCCGUGCUUGAGGACUGGAGAGGAGACUGGAAUUUACGGUGUAGCGGUGGAAUGCGCAGAUAUCAGGAGGAACACCCGUGGCGAAGGCGGCUCUCUGGGACGGUACUGACGCUGAGACGCGAAAGCGUGGGGAGCGAACAGG
rnacentral:rRNA from 1 species